rnacentral:rRNA from 1 species
UACAGAGGGUGCAAGCGUUUAAUCGGAAUUACUGGGCGUAAAGCGUGCGUAGACGGUUAUGUAAGUCGGGUGUGAAAGCCCGGGCUCAACCUGGGAAUUGCAUUCGAGACUGUGUAGCUAGGGUACGGAAGAGGGAAGCGGGAAUUUCAGGUGUAGCGGUGAAAGUGCGUAGAUAUCUGAAGGAACACCAGUGGCGAAAGCGGAGCUUCCUGGUCCA